ACGGCUCAGUAACACGUGGACAACCUGCCCUUAGGUUGGGUAUAAACCCGGGAAACUGGGUAUAAUACCCGAUAGGUCUCGAUUGCUGGAAUGCAUCGAGAUUUAAAGCUCCGGCGCCUAAGGAUGGGUCUGCGGCCUAUCAGGUAGUAGUGGGUGUAGCGUACCUACUAGCCUACGACGGGUACGGGUUGUGAGAGCAAGAGCCCGGAGAUGGAUUCUGAGACACGAAUCCAGGCCCUACGGGGUGCAGCAGGCGCGAAAACUUUACAAUGCUGGCAACAGCGAUAAGGGAACCUCGAGUGCCAGGUUACAAAUCUGGCUGUCGAGAUGCCUAAAAAGCAUUUCAUAGCAAGGGCCGGGCAAGACCGGUGCCAGCCGCCGCGGUAACACCGGCGGCUCGAGUGGUAACCGUUAUUAUUGGGUCUAAAGGGUCUGUAGCCGGCCGGAUAAGUCUCUUGAGAAAUCUGGCAGCUUAACUGUCAGGCUUUCAGGAGAUACUGUCUGGCUCGAGGCCGGGAGAGGUGAGAGGUACUUCAGGGGUAGGGGUGAAAUCUUGUAAUCCUUGAAGGACCACCAGUGGCGAAGGCGUCUCACCAGAACGGACCUGACGGCAAGGGACGAAAGCUAGGGGCACGAACAGGAUUAGAUACCCGGGUAGUCCUAGCCGUAAACGAUACUCGCUAGGUGUCGGCCACGGUGCGACCGUUGUCGGUGCCGUAGGGAAGCCGUGAAGCGAGCCACCUGGGAAGUACGGCCGCAAGGCUGAAACUUAAAGGAAUUGGCGGGGGAGCAC
rnacentral:rRNA from 1 species